rnacentral:rRNA from 1 species
AAAAGCGGAGGAAAAGAAACCAACAGGGAUUGCCCUAGUAACGGCGAGUGAAGCGGCAAUAGCUCAAAUUUGAAAGCUGGCCUUUGGUCCGCAUUGUAAUUUGUAGAGGAUGCUUUUAGGCAGCCGCCGGUCUAAGUUCCUUGGAACAGGACGUCAUAGAGGGUGAGAAUCCCGUAUGUGACCGGCUCAGGCACCUUCUGUAAAGCUCCUUCGACGAGUCGAGUUGUUUGGGAAUGCAGCUCUAAAUGGGAGGUAAAUUUCUUCUAAAGCUAAAUACUGGCGAGAGACCGAUAGCGCACAAGUAGAGUGAUCGAAAGAUGAAAAGUACUUUGGAAAGAGAGUUAAAAAGCACGUGAAAUUGUUGAAAGGGAAGCGCUUGCAAUCAGACUUGGCCUCGGUUGUUCAACCGGUCUUUUGACCGGCCUAUUCAAUCGGGGGCAGGCCAGCAUCAGUUUCGGCGGCCGGAUAAAGGCCUUGGGAAUGUGGCCUCUCCUUCGGGGGAGGUGUUAUAGCCCAGGGUGUAAUACGGUCAGCUGGGACUGAGGUCCGCGCUUCGGCUAGGAUGCUGCGUAACG